CGCGGCCUAUCAGCUUGUUGGUGGGGUAAUGGCCUCCCAAGGCGACGACGGGUAGCCGGCCUGAGAGGGCGACCGGCCACACUGGGACUGAGACACGGCCCAGACUCCUACGGGAGGCAGCAGUGGGGAAUAUUGCACAAUGGGCGAAAGCCUGAUGCAGCGGCGCCGCGUGAGGGAUGACGGCCUUCGGGUUGUAAACCUCUUUCAGCAGGGAAGAAGCGAAAGUGACGGUACCUGCAGAAGAAGCGCCGGCUAACUACGUGCCAGCAGCCGCGGUAAUACGUAGGGCGCGAGCGUUAUCCGGAAUUAUUGGGCGUAAAGAGCUCGUAGGCGGCUUGUCACGUCGGAUGUGAAAGCCCGAGGCUUAACCUCGGGUCUGCAUUCGAUACGGGCUAGCUAGAGUGUGGUAGGGGAGAUCGGAAUUCCUGGUGUAGCGGUGAAAUGCGCAGAUAUCAGGAGGAACACCGGUGGCGAAGGCGGAUCUCUGGGCCAUUACUGACGCUGAGGAGCGAAAGCGUGGGGAGCGAACAGGAUUAGAUACCCUGGUAGUCCACGCCGUAAACGUUGGGAACUAGGUGUUGGCGACAUUCCACGUCGUCGGUGCCGCAGCUAACGCAUUAAGUUCCCCGCCUGGGGAGUACGG
rnacentral:rRNA from 1 species